rnacentral:lncRNA from 1 species
CCCAGGUCCUAGCCUAUUUAUCAACCCAGGUCCUAGCCUAUUUAUCAACCCAGGUCCUAGCCUAUUUAUCAACCCAGGUCCUAGCCUCUUUAUCAACCAGGUCCUAGUCUAUUUAUCAACCCAGGUCCUAGUCUAUUUAUCAACCCAGGUCCUAGCCUAUUUAUCAACCCAGGUCCUAGCCUAUUUAUCAACCCAGGUCGUAGCCUAUUUAUCAACCCAGGUCCUAGCCUAUUUAUCAUCCCAGGUCCUAGCCUAUUUAUCAACCCAGGUCCUAGCCUAUUUAUCAACCCAGGUCCUAGCCUAUUUAUCAACCCAGGUCCUAGCCUAUUUAUCAACCAGGUCCUAGUCUAUUUAUCAACCCAGGUCCUAGCCUAUCUAUCC